GAUGAACGCUAGCGGCAGGCUUAACACAUGCAAGUCGAGGGGCAGCAUGAGACGGAGAUUCGUCGAAGUCUUGAUGGCGACCGGCGCAAGGGUGCGUAACGCGUGAGCAACUUGCCCGUUUCAGGGGGAUAACCGGUGGAAACGCCGACUAAUACCCCAUAGUAUGUUUUUAAGGCAUCUUUUAAACAUUAAAGAAUUUCGGAAACGGAUAGGCUCGCGUGACAUUAGCUAGAUGGUGAGGUAACGGCUCACCAUGGCGACGAUGUCUAGGGGUUCUGAGAGGAAGGUCCCCCACACUGGAACUGAGACACGGUCCAGACUCCUACGGGAGGCAGCAGUGAGGAAUAUUGGUCAAUGGUCGAAGGACUGAACCAGCCAUGCCGCGUGAAGGUGACGGCCCUAUGGGUCUUAAACUUCUUUUGUAAGGGAGCAAUAAGUCUCACGUGUGGGAUGAUGAGAGUACCUUACGAAUAAGCAUCGGCUAACUCCGUGCCAGCCGCCGCAGUAAUAC
rnacentral:rRNA from 1 species